GUGGGGAAUUUUGGACAAUGGGCGCAAGCCUGAUCCAGUAAUGCCGCGUGUGUGAAGAAGGCCUUCGGGUUGUAAAGCACUUUUGUCCGGAAAGAAAUCUCCUGGGUUAAUACCUCGGGGGGAUGACGGUACCGGAAGAAUAAGCACCGGCUAACUACGUGCCAGCAGCCGCGGUAAUACGUAGGGUGCGAGCGUUAAUCGGAAUUACUGGGCGUAAAGCGUGCUCAGGCGGCUAUGCAAGACAGAUGUGAAAUCCCCGGGCUCAACCUGGGAACUGCAUUUGUGACUGCAUGGCUAGAGUGCGUCAGAGGGAGGUGGAAUUCCGCGUGUAGCAGUGAAAUGCGUAGAUAUCGGGAGGAACACCAGUGGCGAAGGCGGCUUCCUGGCACAAUACUGACGCUCAUGUGCGAAAGCUAGGGCAGCGAACGGGAUUAGAUACCCCUGUAGUCC
rnacentral:rRNA from 1 species